AUGGUAAUUACACACCACCGAGUUGCCUGUAAAAGCUGGUCUACCUGGCAGAAAAUGGCAGUAAUCAGCCUAUUGGCAGCAGACAAUACAGCAUCAUUUGUAAUUCUUAUGGCUGCAUGUUCCUCAUUUCACAGGGGCUGGAUGCUAAUCAAUGAGUUGCCAUGGUUACCCGACAUCCCCAGCCAUCAAUACACAAUGAGAUGCAAGGAAAUUAGAGGGGCUUUGAGUCACCGCUGCUGGGGCACCUGGAUGGUUGCAGGCUCCCUUCUGUGUCACACACACAGGUGCCAUCACUUCUCAUCUAAAUUGAAGGCUAAGAUCUACGAAGCUGCUGGCCACCACGAGAAAAGCAAGCAGAGCCCCACGCCGGGUCCUGCUGCUUUAUCACCCGUCGUCCCAACCCAUUCACAUGCAAAAUGCGUGAGAGCUCCCUCUAUUAGCGGUGCGGCUCUCGGCAGCCUUUUGGCACAGCACAAGGAUGUCGGUGUGCAAUAACAAGGAGCGAAAGCAUCUCGGUACGCAACGAGGAGCAGAAUCACAACCCACUCAAGGCUUUGGCCGCCCUCAUCUCCCAGCCAAACCCUCCACAGCGUGGCCCUGCCCUCCAGGUGCUGUAAAUGAGGGUUUGGCUUGGGCAGAACCCCUCGGGCUGCUCAGAGGUGGAUAAGGACUUACUUCUCUCCCUCCACCCUCGUGGAAAUGUAGGUCCCAGAUCCUGAAAACCCUACAGAAAUCAGAGCAAAAUAGAACAGCACAAACAGUUUGGGGGUCCAGCCCAGCUCCUGUUCACCCAGCACUCGGUUGCUUCACUCUUUAUACAGAAGCACUUUUCCCUGCCUGAAGCGCUUCCUCUCCUGUCCAUCCCCCAGGAUCACCCCCACGUUCGCAGAGCGCACCUUCCCUCCCACAUCUGGCCAGGAAGCGACUUCUUCCUUGCUUCUCCGAUUUUGUUUUAUUGUCAUCCUUCGGUUAAAGCAGCUGGACGUUUGCAAACAGCACCAGCAGCCUCUUGCGGGCACGGCGGGUCCUGCAGCCAGGAGCGCUCGGAUGGUGCGGAGCUGUUUGCUCUCUCGCAUGCUUUGUGCAGGGAAAGGCAAUGCAACCGUGCAAACCCUCCCUUCCCACCUAACAGCACCACUACACAGCUGCCCGGAUCUGAUCAGCAAACUAACAAAAUCAACCAGGAACGACCUGACAAAAUUACCUUGUGACUAAGCAAUUAAGCCAGCUCCCAACGAGCUCCAUCCCCACUUCGUUGCUGCAGCUGAGUGCUGAUUUAAGCCACCCUGUGCUGAUAAGCCAGGCUGUCUUCUCA
rnacentral:lncRNA from 1 species